AAAAAAUUAGUUAAAUUUUAUAACAUUAGCUUGUCAAACUAAAAUUAUCUAAAGAUAUUUUUUA
rnacentral:tRNA from 1 species